CAGCAGCCGCGGUAAUACGGAGGAUCCGAGCGUUAUCCGGAAUUAUUGGGUUUAAAGGGUGCGUAGGCGGACAGAUAAGUCAGUGGUGAAAGACGGUGGCUCAACCAUCGCAGUGCCGUUGAUACUGUUUGUCUUGAAUAUGGAUGAGGUAGGCGGAAUGUGGCAAGUAGCGGUGAAAUGCAUAGAUAUGCCACAGAACACCGAUUGCGAAGGCAGCUUACCAAGGCAAUAUUGACGCUGAGGCACGAAAGCGUGGGGAUCGAACAGGAUUAGAUACCCGUGUAGUCCCUGUCUCUUAUAA
rnacentral:rRNA from 1 species